AGAAAACUAGAGACCCUUGAAAUUAAACUAGAAGCAAGAAAAGAGUUGACAAGAGUGAACAAGGCUUCACUCUUGCCUCUAUAUAUACUAUCUACCUAAGAGCUAUGUGGCAACGUUCUAUAAGACCUUCAAAAACGUGUUGACUUUAUACAACACGUAUCUUAAUUUGCAAGGCAAGUUUUCUAUGUGGACGCCACAUAGUUAGCUUGUUUUGCAAGCUAUCAACAUGUAUGGCACAUGGUUAACUUGUUGACCAAGUGUCACGGACACAAAAUACAGACUUGAAAUCUAACAAGAAGUUCAAGAAGAAGUGACAGAACUAGUUUAAAGAGAUGAGUACAAGAACAACACCAGAAAGGUGAGCUAGAACUCCAAGAGAUGUG
rnacentral:lncRNA from 1 species